rnacentral:rRNA from 1 species
AGCAGCCGCGGUAAUUCCAGCUCCAUUAGCGUAUAUUAAAGUUGUUGCAGUUAAAAAGCUCGUAGUUGAAUUUCGGGGUCAGUAGGCUGGUCGUGCCACCGGUACGUACUGGUCUCACUGAUUCCUCCUUCCUGAAGAACCGUAAUGCCAUUAAUUUGGUGUUGCGGGGAAACAGGACUGUUACUUUGAAAAAAUUAGAGUGUUUAAAGCAGGCUAACGCUUGAAUACAUUAGCAUGGAAUAAUGAAAUAGGACGAUCGAUCCUAUUUUGUUGGUUUCUAGGAUUGACGUAAUGAUUAAUAGGGAUAGUUGGGGGCAUUAGUAUUCAAUUGUCAGAGGUGAAAUUCUUGGAUUUAUUGAAGACUAACUACUGCGAAAGCAUUUGCCAAGGAUGUUUUCAUUAAUCAAGAACGAAAGUUAGGGGAUCGAAGACGAUCAGAUACCGUCGUAG